GACGAACGCUGGCGGCGUGCUUAACACAUGCAAGUCGAACGGAAAGGCCCUGCUUGCAGGGUACUCGAGUGGCGAACGGGUGAGUAACACGUGGGUGAUCUGCCCUGCACUUCGGGAUAAGCUUGGGAAACUGGGUCUAAUACCGGAUAGGAGCCAUCUUUAGUGUGGUGGUUGGAAAGUUUUUUCGGUGUAGGAUGAGCUCGCGGCCUAUCAGCUUGUUGGUGGGGUAAUGGCCUACCAAGGCGGCGACGGGUAGCCGGCCUGAGAGGGUGUACGGCCACAUUGGGACUGAGAUACGGCCCAGACUCCUACGGGAGGCAGCAGUGGGGAAUAUUGCACAAUGGGCGCAAGCCUGAUGCAGCGACGCCGCGUGGGGGAUGAAGGCCUUCGGGUUGUAAACUCCUUUCGCUAGGGACGAGGCUUUGUUGUGACGGUACCUAGAUAAGAAGCACCGGCUAACUACGUG
rnacentral:rRNA from 1 species